UACGUAGGGGGCAAGCGUUGUCCGGAAUCAUUGGGCGUAAAGAGCGUGUAGGCGGUUCAGUAAGUCUGUUCUGAAAGUCCAAGGCUCAACCUUGGGAUGCGGAUGGAUACUGUUGAACUCGAGUCCGGAAGAGGAGUGUGGAAUUCCUGGUGUAGCGGUGAAAUGCGCAGAUAUCAGGAGGAACACCGAUGGCGAAGGCAGCACUCUGGGACGUGACUGACGCUGAGACGCGAAAGCGUGGGGAGCAAAC
rnacentral:rRNA from 1 species